rnacentral:lncRNA from 1 species
UAAUGUCCCUAAUAAUUUUUGAAAUCAUUUAAAGUUAGUAAACAAUCUCUCCACAGCUUCAAAGGGGCAUUAUCAGUUUUUAAAACUUUUGGCACACCUAAAUAUGAGAAGCAAGUAAAGAGGUGUUGCACAACAUCUUUAUAAGCUUCUCCAGUUUGUUUUGUAACCUAAAUCUGGUCUAUAGCUUUUUAGAUGACAAGCAACCAUCUAAUCUUUGCUUGAAUACUUCCAGCAACAGGGAACUCACUACUCUUCAAGGUUUUAAACUCUCCCUCACCUUUUUUUUUUUUCUACAGCAUUCUCACCCCGCAUAUCACUUUCUCUAAUCCCACCAACUCAUUUUCAGUAUUAUACGUGGGCCAGGAACUAGGCCAGUCUUUCCCAGCAAUGUUAAGAGACGUCUGUUCUUGUGUCUAAUAGCCCUGACAUUUUAUUUUCUUGAAUUAAAAGAUCUUUUAAAGGCCUUGGAGCUGUAAUUCCCUGCACCCAAAAAGCUAGAUCACUAAAUCUAAAUGCUCUGUGGCUCCUAGCUUGAGAAGUCAAGGUUUUUCUUGUCUGAUAAUAAGGUAAAAAGCAAAAGCUGUGUUACUCUUUGACCUUUAUUAAUUUGCACAGUUUUAGUAGGCGGUGAGAACAAAACUUUAAUUUCUCAAUAUAAUCAGAAUCUACUACACCAUGCACCACCGAAAUUUUCUUUUUCUUUUUAUUUAUUUAUUUAUUCUUUUUCUUUCUUUCUUUCUUUCUUUUUUUUUUUUUUUUUUUAAGAAAGCGAGCUACGCCCUAGCACAAGUCCUACAAUGCCCUCAGGUAGGGGGCCAGCCACUCCCGUUGGAAUUGGAGUAACCUCGUCAAGAGUUAAUAUUGUUGCUAAAUCCCCUUACCGUUUGGCUUUUCUCUUAGCCUGGGUGAGACCCCCCUGAGGGGGUUUUCUCCAAGGAGCACGCUCUGCAUAUUGUGCAUGCAGUCUGUUUUAAAAGCUCCACUGUUUAAAAAACUUUUUAUCUUUUUCAGGCUUAGGCAACACUUUGAGAGGCUUUGGGGGCAAAGUGGGGAACUCUUGGGCCCUGGAAGGCGCAAACGGAGGCGGCGGCUAUUGCCCCAAAUCAGAAAGUGGUGGAUAAGUUUUUUUAAAAGUUUGCGCAGAGUGGGAGGUAGCUCGCCAGGGCGUCUGGCCACAGUGUCCUGUCUUGGCCACCUAUAAUGUUGAACAGUCCUUUUUCAAUGACUGGUUCACUGGGCACUUGAACUUCCAAACUGAGCACCAGUGAUUAAGAGAAAUAGUUCACAAUAAAGGGCAAGGGCUGUCACUAAUAACUGCCCUCCACAUAGUCCAGAGUGGAGUACUAGACUUGCAAUCUUAAGGCAGAACAAUGAACCAGGACUCUCUAAAGGAUGCUAUUUUUAAAUUAACAACAAUGAUAAAGAAGAGAAGAAAGAAAUGAAGUGUCACAAUUAUGAGUAAAUGGAGUGAAAUCUUGGAAAAGUAUCAGUGACUCAGUUUCCAGAUUCCUAUGGGCUUAGGAAUUGAUUUCUUUGCAUUUGCUUUGUUGGCAAAACUUAAGAAAAAUCAGGACACUUGGGUAACCAACUUGUGUUCAAACUUAACUAUGCUAUAAUUCAAAUAUCUACUUAUCUGUCUUUAGAGCCAAGUUUACAAAAUAAAUAAUGAAGUGGAAUCCCUGCUGCAAUUUCUAAAUGGUAUCUGGAAAUACUUUACCAAUGGGUCAGUUACAGAGAGGAAAUGGGUAGUUCAUGCCUUGAUGCAAGUUAAAACAUUGAGAGUCAAUUUCUCCAGAGUGUCAGGGCAAAGGCCUUCCACAUUCUCUUUGUCUAAACCAUGAGUCUAUGAUAGUCAAAGAAGGAACAAGACCUUUAUUUGUUCAAGGAAUUUUUUUCAUUCUAUUUCUCAUAUUAGGGCUUGAAAAUUUCAGCAAAACAAACAAAAAUAUUAUUACUCAUAGUUUUAUUAAAGGAGAGGUUUACAUCCAAGACGGUCAUCUGGCUGACUAAAGAAAACUUGGAAUUAAAAAUCCAUCUCUCCUCACUUCUUAUUCCUUUCCUGGGACUUUUAGCUAUUUACCAUGACUUAAUAUAAAGACUGCAGUCCACAGGGUCACUGAGGGUUGGACACGACUGAACAACUUCACUUUCACUUUUCACUUUCAUGCAUUGGAGAAGAAAAUGGCAACACACUCCAGUGUUCUUGCCUGGAGAAUCCCAGGGACGGGGGAGCCUGGUGGGCUGCUGUCUAUGGGGUCGCACAGAGUUGGACACAACUGACUCGACUUAGCAGCAGUAGCAGCAGCAAUAUACAUUCAUCUAUUCUUGCUCAGGAAGUUAGAAAAACAGAGACUAAGACAGAGAUUAGUAGGGGUAGAGUGGGCAGUUCAGUAUCUCCAGUUCUCUGGGUAGUUCUAAAUGGUAUAAAGUUCUAAAAGGUAUACUUUCAUUUUAUCAGGACAAAAAUAAACAGUUGAUGGAGCUAAAACAUAUUCUCUUAGUUCUUCCUAAACGUCUUCCACCACAAGACUUGUAGUGGGUUGAGGGAUAAGAUGAGUCUGCCAGCAAGUUUUUUAACUUCCCAGAACAAAAGUAUUGUGCAAGGUCAAGGUUGGGUUUGCAUGACUGAUACCAUUUUAUUUUGUAAAAGGGGAAUGGGAACUUUGGGUUUCUCCUUAGGUCUGAAAGUUUUUUUUUAAUCUAUUUUCUCUGUUUCCCUAGUCUAUUUCCCACAAUGCCAUGCCAUAAUUAUCACAAGAUGGCACCUCUGGUGAAAGCCUCUUGGUGAAAGUGAAAGUGGAGAGUGACAAAGUUGGCUUAAAGCUCA